AGCAGGGCUUUUGGAGGCCAGUGUAGAGGCGCUGCUGCAUCCUUCCCUCACUCUUUAUGUUGACUCCUGUGUUGCUACACUGAAGUCAAAUCUUCUCUCACAGCCGAGAUACAAGUUUAUCUCCAACCAUGGGUCAAUGAUGGACAGUUUACUGCCAGACUCUUCCUCCACAUUCCCGCCUCAGGAUCCAGCUAACAGACUUUGUUUCAGCUUCAAAAUGUUUACUUUCAACCAAACAUCUCCAGAGGAGAUGUUCAUAAGCUGCCAUCUUGGAGCCACUUUGAAACAAAAGUCUCCAAGCCGUCAUAAUAAAGCCUCUUUCUUCCACAAACUCACAUUGAGAUGGCGGUCCAUAGAGGGAGACAUCGCUCUGUGUGAAUGCUGCAACACUGACUGCUCAGGACUGACUGGAGUGAAGAACCACGGCCGUCCAGAGACGGAUGAGACGUUUGAGGCCCACAGGACAGCUGGACCUCUUCAUGUUGUGCAUCAAUCCUACUGGACCAGAGAGCCAUCAGUCAGUUGAAAAGACUCUACUCCAGGUCCAGAGUUUGGUUUUGAACAAACCACCCAGUAUAAAAUACUCACCAGUGUGGAGAUUGUGGUCCUUGAUGAAGAUGUUCUGUGUCGGGUUUCUGGACCCAGGCUGCUUGCUGCAUGUCUUCCCC